rnacentral:lncRNA from 1 species
GAGCAAAACAAAACAGAGAAGGGAGAAAUAAAGAAACAGAGAGCAAAACGAAACAGAGAAGGAAGGAAGGAAAGAAAGAAAGAAAAGAAAAGAAAAAGGGAAAUUUGGGGUUUUAAGGUUCAAAGUAAUUUCGUAAGUCAAUUUAAUCCCCUUUUCUCUUAAUUUUGAUAUUUUUUUUGAAAUCCUAGAACAAAAUACUACUUGAUUUAAGUUGAAAUUUUGGAAGUUAGUAGAUUAUUAAGCAUGGUUCAUGUUGAAUAAAUUGUUAAAUUAGGGAUGUAUUUGAUAGAAAUUUUGAUUGGAAUUAAAUAAAGGAUUGAAUUGUAAACUAAACUAUAAGUUUUGAAUUUUAGGGAUUAAUUUGAAAUAAAUUCGGAAUUAUGAAAACAUGAUAAAAAUUAAAUAGUUAAAUAUGAGUUUAGCAAGAAAUUGGGUAGAAUAAGGGUAUGAAUUGAGAAAGAAAAAUAUAUAGGUUUAGUUAGGGGUUAAAUUGAUUUAAUUUCAAGUUAGAAGUUAGUAAAGAAUGUAAUUGUAAAAUAAAAUAUAAGUUUUGAAUCGAUAGGGAUUAAAUUGAAAGAAUCCCGAAAUUAGGGAUUUAUGGUGAAAUUGAGGAAUUAAAUUGACUUUAUAGUAAGAAUUAAGAGAGAAUAUAGAGUUAGAUUGGGAAAAAUAAAAUUAGUAUUGGUAAGGGAUCAAAUUAGAAUUUGGGUAAAGUUUAGGUAUAAAAGGAAAUAUUUUAAUGAAAUUGUGUAUUAAUGAUUUUUAAUUGUUUAAUUACGUAGCUAAUGUCGUGUACGAGUCAUUGUCCGAGAAAGGAAAGGAGAAAGUGGACAAGGAGUGACUCGAGAGAAAUUACGGUUAGUAUUACUAUAAUUCGAAUUUAAUUAUUAAUCGUUGAAAUUUAAAUUAAUAUGCAUGAUAAGCAAAUUAAGGUGAGUAUCAUGAAAGAAUUGAAUGAAUAUAUAUAUACGUAUUGGUAUUGAAUUUAUUAAUAAUAAUUGUUGAAUUUUGAAUAAUAUGUUUAGUAAAAAAAAUAAUAAUAAGAUGAAUAUUGAUAUUGAAUUGUACAUGAAUUCGAGUGGAAAAUGAAUUAAAAAUAUAUAUAUAUGAAUGGAAUAAAAGUGAAUUAAAUUGUGAAUAAGUGUGAUAUAUGUGAAUUGCGGAAUAAGUAGUAAAUUGUAAUGACGAAGAAAUGAUAAAUCCUUUUUGAAAUAAUUCUAUAAAGUAUUUAAAUAAAUGAGAUUCAUAUUUAAUGCCCAAGUAGAUGGAAUUUAGAACUACCAGGAUAUUAGUGGCAUGCCAUUAAGGAACUUAUUAAGGAACUUUAGCGCGCUCUCUGAUUAUUAGCACGUUGGUGCUCUUUGAUAUUAGCACGUUGGUGCUCUUUGAUAUUAGCACGUUGGUGCUCUCUGAUAUUUAGCACGUCAGUGCUCUCUGUUUAGCACAUUUGUGCUCUCUGUAUUUGUUCCGUAUAUCCGGGGUGUUCUGUAAAAUCUACUUUGGGCUAAGAGUAUAAGCUGUGGACAAAAGUGAAAUUGUGAAUUGAUGUGAGAAUUUGAAAAUCGAGAUAAGAGAUUUAAAGAUAUGAACCCAAAGUUCAUGAUAUGAUAAAGAGUAAAUUUUGUUAUAUGAUAUUAGUGAGUACAAAUUGCAAUAAAAUUUAUAUUGAAUAUAAAUUAAAUGAAAUGAAUUGUAUAUGAAUUGAAAUGAACUAUUGGAAUGAGAUGUAAAGAAAAAUCCCAUGGAAUUGAGAUAGUGAAAUAAGGUAUGAAUACAAUUAAAUACAAGAUUUGAAUUAUAGCUUAUUGUUAUUAAUUAUCAAGUUGAUUUAAUGCAUGAGAUAAUUAAUGAAUAAUUGUAGACAUAAAUAAAAUGUAUAUAAUUUGUCGAUUAAUGUUAUUAAUUCGAAUUAUGGUAAUACCACUGAGUAUUUCCAUACUCAGCGUACGGUUGUUUCCGUGCGCAGGUUAGGUCAAAGUCGGAUUGUUGAAUCAGCAUCCAAAGCCGAUUCUGAGCUAAUUGUGGUGGUGAACAUUUCUUUUAGUUAUGGCAUGUAUAGGAAUUUAGUAAUUUUGUAUAUUUGUAAAUAUGAUUUUACUAUAGAAUGAUGUGUAAGUAUUUGAUGAUGAAUGGUUGUUUAAAUGGUCAAGGAUGAAGUUAAUUAUUGUUAUAAAAGUCUAAGUGAUAAAUUAGGUAUGAAAAUCAUAAAAUGGUAAAAUUUUGCAAAGAAAUAGAAUUCAGGCAGCAAUAGUGACGUAACUUUGAAAAAUCACCUAGGAUAGUAUAAAAUGAAUUAGAGGGUGAAUGAUAUAUGAAAUGAAAUAUUAUUGAGUCUAUUUUUAUAUAAAAAUAACGGUUUAGCAAAAAGAAAUUUAUAUUUUAAGAUAUGUGAAUUUUAGUGAGAAAUGGUCAGAUCUAUUUCUGGAGUCCCC